rnacentral:rRNA from 4 species
AGAGUUUGAUCCUGGCUCAGGACGAACGCUGGCGGCGUGCCUAAUACAUGCAAGUAGAACGCACAGGAUGCACCGUAGUUUACUACACCGUAUUCUGUGAGUUGCGAACGGGUGAGUAACGCGUAGGUAACCUGCCUGGUAGCGGGGGAUAACUAUUGGAAACGAUAGCUAAUACCGCAUAAGAACAUUUACUGCAUGGUAGAUGUUUAAAAGGUGCAAAUGCAUCACUACCAGAUGGACCUGCGUUGUAUUAGCUAGUAGGUGAGGUAACGGCUCACCUAGGCGACGAUACAUAGCCGACCUGAGAGGGUGAUCGGCCACACUGGGACUGAGACACGGCCCAGACUCCUACGGGAGGCAGCAGUAGGGAAUCUUCGGCAAUGGGGGGAACCCUGACCGAGCAACGCCGCGUGAGUGAAGAAGGUUUUCGGAUCGUAAAGCUCUGUUGUUAAGGAAGAACGAGUGUGAGAAUGGAAAGUUCAUACUGUGACGGUACUUAACCAGAAAGGGACGGCUAACUACGUGCCAGCAGCCGCGGU